AAAAAAAAGAAAAAGUGGAAAGGCUCUUGCUGAUGGUUUUCGGGGUUUAUUUUCUUCUUUGAAGAGUCCUUUCAAAGUUUAAGAGAAAGAUAUAUACAAAUUUGUUCUUUUUCUGAAUCCGGAUUUGAGUUCCAAGGAGAUAAAAAUUGAAGUUCAAGCUUGAUUUUCUACUGUCAUCUUGCUGAUUUGCUGCUGAACCUCGCUAGGAUUUGGAGUUGAGAAGUGUAUUGUCGAGUCCAUAAUUGUUAUAAAAGAGAUUUGCAUCUUCAGGUUCAAUUUUCCUCUCUUUAUUUCUAUGCGACUCUGUUUUGUUUCAGUGUUUUUGAGCUAUGAGAUUCAGUCUAGAGUGGUUUGUUCUGUGUUAUGAUCGAAUACCAGUGGUGGUAUGUGUUUGAGUAUAUGUAGUCAAUAAGAGUCGAUUUGAGUAAUCAUCUUCCACCUCCUGUAUGUCGUGAUUGUUAUUCGGGCUCGAGGUAUAUUCUGAAUUAAAUUUCAUCGCGUUCAGUUGAACGAUGUGUGCAGUUUCUUCUGGUGAAAUUCCUUCACAAUAUGCUCUGAUGUUCAUGAUGAUUUGCUUGAGCCAUAAGUUCAUGGAGUUAACUAAUAGUUCUGUAGAUGUUAUAUUGGAAAUGUGUGGUCGACCUAGGAUGGUUUUCACUGUUAGUUGUGGUGUUCUGAUUGAGGAUUCAGCACACAACUAGUCAAUUGGUUCAAGUAUCCUAGCAGUAGAGUUGUUGGAAGUCUUCUAUGUGCUAAUUGUUAAAUUAUAGCUUUGUACAUGUUUAGUUUCCUUUAUAAGCAACAAGAGGCUGAUUUGAGUAAGGUGAGUAAAAAUCAGUAGUAAAUUAUGAGUUUACAUUCAAUUUUCGAACCAAGUUAUGUUGCCUUGAUUGAGUUUUCCUGAAAUCUUGUUCACCCUUAACUUGGUCUCAUAGUUUGGACAGUUAGUCGCCUGAGUUUGAAUGGCUCGUGUAUCUUUGAAAUUUCAUGCUUAUUAGUGUACUAGGUGCCAAUCAGUCCAGUUAUGAGCAGUUUUGUUCAUGCCCUAAUACUGAAAUAUACAAGCUAUCUUCACACUGGAUUUCCAAUCAGUUUGCAUUCUCUGUUUACUUGUUCCUAUUACCAGUGAUUUGUUUUUCACCUUUGAAUAAGACAGGAUCAUCUCAGUUCCAAAAUUCUGAUUUCCUUUUAAUUGUUGUCCUAAUUUGGCUGUUGGUUUCUGCCUUAUUUUCUUCUAUUAACUUCUGCGAGUAUUAAAGCAGAUUCUACAUCUGUUUGGAUUCAUGGCUGCGAUAGAUGUUCUGU
rnacentral:lncRNA from 1 species